rnacentral:rRNA from 1 species
CACGCCGUAAACGAUGGAUACUAGCUGUUGGAUCGUGAGGUUCAGUGGCUAAGCAAAAGUGAUAAGUAUCCCACCUGGGGAGUACGUUCGCAAGAAUGAAACUCAAAGGAAUUGACGGGGACCCGCACAAGCGGUGGAUGAUGUGGUUUAAUUCGAUGCAACGCGAAAAACCUUACCCACCUUUGACAUGUACGGAAUCCUUUAGAGAUAGAGGAGUGCUCGAAAGAGAGCCGUAACACAGGUGC